UUUACAUAUUAAUUUAAGUUGUUGAUUUUUAAUAUUGGUGACUACUGCGGCAAGGAAAAACGUACGAAGUCCCAUCCAAUAAACAGAGAAGAUAAUAUCGCGAUCCAUUGAGAAAAGAAGGCCACGAUAAAGAAGAAUGGGUCAGUAUUCAAAAGCUGCUGAAAAAAUAUGGAAAAAGAACGAGUUCUUGGCAUACAAUGCUGACACGAGAAAUAUUCUAUUAAUUACAAAAAAAGGAUGCUAAAUGACAGCUGGGCCUUCAGUUUACAAAUUAUAAA